GGUCAGGGAUGAGCUCGCGGCCUAUCAGCUUGUUGGUGAGGUAACGGCUCACCAAGGCGUCGACGGGUAGCCGGCCUGAGAGGGUGACCGGCCACACUGGGACUGAGACACGGCCCAGACUCCUACGGGAGGCAGCAGUGGGGAAUAUUGCACAAUGGGCGCAAGCCUGAUGCAGCAACGCCGCGUGAGGGACGACGGCCUUCGGGUUGUAAACCUCUUUUAGCAGGGAAGAAGCGAAAGUGACGGUACCUGCAGAAAAAGCGCCGGCUAACUACGUGCCAGCAGCCGCGGUAAUACGUAGGGCGCAAGCGUUAUCCGGAAUUAUUGGGCGUAAAGAGCUCGUAGGCGGUUUGUCGCGUCUGCUGUGAAAACCCGAGGCUCAACCUCGGGCCUGCAGUGGGUACGGGCAGACUAGAGUGCGGUAGGGGAGAUUGGAAUUCCUGGUGUAGCGGUGGAAUGCGCAGAUAUCAGGAGGAACACCGAUGGCGAAGGCAGAUCUCUGGGCCGUAACUGACGCUGAGGAGCGAAAGGGUGGGGAGCAAACAGGCUUAGAUACCCUGGUAGUCCACCCCGUAAACGUUGGGAACUAGUUGUGGGGUCCAUUCCACGGAUUCCGUGACGCAGCUAACGC
rnacentral:rRNA from 1 species